GCCCAGGUGGCGAAAGGGCAGACGCGACGGACUUAAAAUCCGUUUCCCGACAAGGGAGUGGGGGUUCGAAUCCCUUCCUGGGCACCA
rnacentral:tRNA from 1 species